UGAAUACUUCCUCCGUUCCAAAAUUCUUGUCUUAACUUUGUUUAGAAAUGGAUGUAUCUAAAUACUAAAACUUGACUAGAUACAUAUAUAUAUAAACAAAUAUAAGACAAGAAUUUUGAGACGGAGGGAGUAAUAU
rfam:Hordeum vulgare subsp. vulgare, WGS project CAJW01000000 data, contig: morex_contig_46732